rnacentral:rRNA from 1 species
CAGUAGCCGCGGGAAUACGGAGGAUCCAAGCGUUAUCCGGAAUCAUUGGGUUUAAAGGGUCCGUAGGCGGUCUUGUAAGUCAGUGGUGAAAGCCCAUCGCUCAACGGUGGAACGGCCAUUGAUACUGCAGGACUUGAAUUAUUGGGAAGUAACUAGAAUAUGUAGUGUAGCGGUGAAAUGCUUAGAGAUUACAUGGAAUACCAAUUGCGAAGGCAGGUUACUACCAAUUGAUUGACGCUGAUGGACGAAAGCGUGGGUAGCGAAAAGGAUUAGAUACCCCAGUAGUCCCUGUCUCUUAUAC